UCUUUUCACCACCCUCCUUCACUCUUCAGCAGAAUCAUUUCGUUUUUCUUCGAAUCCUAAACCACAUCCAAUCGAGAAAAAAAUUGCAGAAACAGCAAGAAAAAUGUUUUUAAUGCAGCAGCUGAAGAUCAAACAGAAACCACCGGUUACCCCAACCUCUCAUUUUCAGUUCUGAAAAUGGUGAUGGAGCAAGAGGGGAUGAAUGAAAUUGGUGAGCUGUUGGAAGAAGAAGAAAGAAGUAAGAACGAAAUUCAUAGGAAGUGAAAGAAGCUUAAUUUCGCUGUAUUGGAUGAAAAUAAGGACGAGUUCAUCGAUGCAAAGGCGUUCAGGAAUGAACUGUUUU
rnacentral:lncRNA from 1 species